rnacentral:rRNA from 1 species
GUCUAUGGCCAUGCCACCCUGAACAAGCCCGAUCUUGUUGAUCUCAGAAGCUAAGCAGAGUCGGGCCUGGUUAGUACUUGGAUGGGAGACCACCUAGGAAGAACAGGUGCUAUAGGUG